rnacentral:rRNA from 1 species
GUGCCAGCCGCCGCGGUAAUACGUAGGUGGCAAGCGUUGUCCGGAAUUAUUGGGCGUAAAGCGCGCGCAGGCGGUCCUUUAAGUCUGAUGUGAAAUCCCACGGCUCAACCGUGGAAGGUCAUUGGAAACUGGGGGACUUGAGUACAGAAGAGGAAAGCGGAAUUCCAAGUGUAGCGGUGAAAUGCGUAGAGAUUUGGAGGAACACCAGUGGCGAAGGCGGCUUUCUGGUCUGUAACUGACGCUGAGGCGCGAAAGCGUGGGGAGCAAACAGGAUUAGAUACCCUGGUAGUCCACGCCGUAAACGAUGAGUGCUAAGUGUUAGGGGGUUUCCGCCCCUUAGUGCUGCAGCUAACGCAUUAAGCACUCCGCCUGGGGAGUACGGUCGCAAGACUGAAACUUAAAUAAAUUGACGG